CAAAGUGCAAAUAGUGGUAGGUAGUGCAGAGUGAAUCCUAGCUACACUAUUUACACUUCAAGC
rnacentral:pre_miRNA from 1 species